GACGAACGCUGGCGGCGUGCUUAACACAUGCAAGUCGAACGGUGAAGCGCCUUCCUUUUUGGUGGGUGUGGAUGAGUGGCGAACGGGUGAGUAACACGUGCGUAACCUGCCCCCUUCUUCUGGAUAACCGCAUGAAAGUGUGGCUAAUACGGGAUAUUCUGGGUCUGUCGCAUGAUGGGUCUGGGGAAGAUAUUGUUUCGGUGGGGGAUGGGCUCGCGGCCUAUCAGCUUGUUGGUGGGGUGAUGGCCUACCAAGGCGGUGACGGGUAGCCGGCCUGAGAGGGUGGCCGGUCACAAGGGGACUGAGGCACGGCCCAGACUCCGACGGGAGGCAGCAGUGGGGAAUAUUGCACAAUGGGCGCAAGCCUGAUGCAGCGACGCCGCGUGAGGGAUGGAGGCCUGCGGGUUGUGAACCUCUUUCGCCAGUGAAGCAGGCCUGCCUCGUUUGUGGGUGGGUUGACGGUAGCUGGAUAAGAAGCGCCGGCUAACUACGUG
rnacentral:rRNA from 1 species